UACAGAGGGGGCGAAGCGUUGUUUCGGAAUUACUGGGGCGUAAAGGCGCGUAGGCGGCCUGCUAAGUCGAACGUGAAAUCCCUGGGCUCAACCCAGGAACUGCGUCCGAUACUGGUUGGCUUGAAUCCGGGAGAGGGAUGUGGAAUUCCAGGUGUAGCGGUGAAAUGCGUAGAUAUCUGGAGGAACACCGGUGGCGAAGGCGACAUCCUGGACCGGCAUUGACGCUGAGGCGCGAAAGCCAGGGGAGCAAACGGG
rnacentral:rRNA from 1 species